GAUGAACGCUGGCGGCGUGCCUAACACAUGCAAGUCGAGCGUGAUUGAUAUGAGUGGAGACUUCGGUCAAAGCGAGUAUCAUGAAAGCGGCGGACGGGUGAGUAACGCGUGGGCAACCUGCCCCAUACACGGGAAUAGCCACUGGAAACGGUGAUUAAUGCCCGAUAAGACCACAGUACCACAUGGUACAGUGGCCAAAGAUUUAUCGGUAUGGGAUGGGCCCGCGUCUGAUUAGCUAGUUGGUGAGGUAACGGCUCACCAAGGCGACGAUCAGUAACCGACCUGAGAGGGCGGACGGUCACACUGGAACUGAGACACGGUCCAGACUCCUACGGGAGGCAGCAGUGGGGAAUAUUGCACAAUGGGCGCAAGCCUGAUGCAGCAACGCCGCGUGAGUGAAGAAGGCCUCGGUCGUAAGACUCUGUCCUGUGGG
rnacentral:rRNA from 1 species